rnacentral:rRNA from 1 species
GAAUUUUGGACAAUGGGGGCAACCCUGAUCCAGCCAUCCCGCGUGUGCGAUGAAGGCCUCCGGGUUGUAAACCACUUUUGGCAGGGAAGAAAAGGCUCUGGCUAAUACCUGGAGCUGCCGACGGUACCUGCAGAAUAAGCACCGCCUAACGACGGCCCAGCAGCCGCGGUAAUACGUAGGGUGCAAGCGUUAAUCGGAAUUACUGGGCGUAAAGCGUGCGGAGGCGGUUCGGCAAGAAGGAUGUGAAAUCCCAGGGCUUAACCUUGGAGCUGCAUUCUGAACUGCCGGGCUAGAGUAUGUCAGAGGGGGGUAGAAUUCCGCGUGUAGCAGUGUAAUGCGUAGAGAUGCGGAGGAAUACCGAUGGCGAAGGCAGCCCCCUGGGAUAAUACUGACGCUCAUGCACGAAAGCGUGGGGAGCAAAC